GACGAACGCUGGCGGCGUGCUUAACACAUGCCAGUCGAACGGAAAGGCCCUGCUUUUGUGGGGUGCUCGAGUGGCGAACGGUUGAGUAACACGUGAGUAACCUGCCCUUGACUUUGGGAUAACUUCAGGAAACUGGGGCUAAUACCGGAUAGGAGCUCCUGCUGCAUGGUGGGGGUUGGAAAGUUUCGGCGGUUGGGGAUGGACUCGCGGCUUAUCAGCUUGUUGGUGGGGUAGUGGCUUACCAAGGCUUUGACGGGUAGCCGGCCUGAGAGGGUGACCGGCCACAUUGGGACUGCGAUACGGCCCAGACUCCUACGGGAGGCAGCAGUGGGGAAUAUUGCACAAUGGGCGGAAGCGUGAUGCAGCAACGCCGCGUGCGGGAUGACGGCCUUCGGGUUGUAAACCGCUUUCGCCUGUGACGAAGCGUGAGUGACGGUAAUGGGUAAAGAAGCACCGGCUAACUACGUG
rnacentral:rRNA from 1 species